rnacentral:rRNA from 1 species
UACAGAGGGGGCAAGCGUUGUUCGGAAUUACUGGGCGUAAAGGGCGCGUAGGCGGCCUGCUAAGUCGAACGUGAAAUCCCCGGGCUCAACCCGGGAACUGCGUCCGAUACUGACAGGCUCGAAUCCGGGAGAGGGAUGUGGAAUUCCAGGUGUAGCGGUGAAAUGCGUAGAUAUCAUUUGGAACGCCAAUGGUGAAAACAGGUAGCUGGGAGUGUGCUGACGCUGAGACACGAAAGCCAGGGGAGCAAACGGG